GGUUCCGUGGUGUAGUGGUUAUCACGUUCGCUUCACACGCGAAAGGUCCCCAGUUCGAUCCUGGGCGAAAUCA
rnacentral:tRNA from 1 species